AUUGAACGCUGGCGGCAGGCCUAACACAUGCAAGUCGAGCGAGCGGCGGACGGGUGAGUAAUGUAUGGGGACUGCCCGACAGACGGGGAUAACUACUGGAAACGGUGGCUAAUACCGCAUACUAUCGGAUAACCCAUAGUGGAUUAGCUAGUAGGUGGGGUAAAGGCUCACCUAGGCGACGAUGCCUAGCUGGUCUGAGAGGAUGAUCAGCCACACUGGGACUGAGACACGGCCCAGACUCCUACGGAGGCAGCAGUGGGGAAUAUUGGACAAUGGGCGCAAGCCUGAUGCAGCCAUGCCGCGUGUAUGAAGAAGGCCUUAGGGUUGUAAAGUACUGUCAGCAGGGAGGCGUUACCCGAACAAGAAGCACCGGCUAACUCCGUGCCAGCAGCCGCGGUAAUUC
rnacentral:rRNA from 1 species